ACUAGUGAGAGUGCGGGAGUGGGUGACUAGUGACAGAGGGAAGGAUGGGUUGACUAGUGACAGUCACCACCUCCCUCACUCUGUCACUAAUCACCAUCUCCCUCUGUCACUAGUCACCCCCUCCCUCACUCUGUCACU